CUGGCCAUAAACGAUGGAUACUAGGUGUUAGAGGUAUCGACCCCUCUAGUGCCGCAGCUAACGCAUUAAGUAUCCCGCCUGGGGAGUACGACCGCAAGGUUGAAACUCAAAGGAAUUGACGGGGGCCCGCACAAGCGGUGGAGCAUGUGGUUUAAUACGUCACUAACCGUAGAACCUUACCCAGGCUUGACAUCUAGGGAAUCCUGAUGAAAGUCGGGAGUGCCUUUGGGAGCCCUAAGACAGGUGU
rnacentral:rRNA from 1 species